GGGCUGGUAGCUCAGCUUGGCUAGAGCACCCGACUGAUAAUCGGGAGGUCAAGGGUUCGAAUCCCUUCCGGCCCA
rnacentral:tRNA from 1 species